rnacentral:lncRNA from 1 species
AGACAUACAAAAUGUCCAGUGUUGGGGUCGCCCGGGACCAGGGUUGAGAAACACUGCUCUAAUACUAAAAUGGUGGUGCCUCAUUCUCUUGGAAAAUUUUGCUGUUGAAAGGAAACAUGUCCUCACUGCGUGCAAGUGCCGGAAGAGCAGGAGAUUGAAAUCUGCAGCAGGGAGCCAAGGAUAACAAAAGACCUCCACACUGCAGUUGGAUAGCUGCGGAAAAACUUCUGUGUCUUCAGAGGUUUGGUGAAAGAGCUGAGGCUCCUCAAACUGAAAGAGGAAGACCAGAAGAAAGCUCUUCUUCAGCUUUCACAGGCCGAAAUGGCUGACGACCAGCAACUGGCCAAGUAACCUUUUGUUUACCAAUUCCAAUUUAAUGAUAAUAUGGACAUUUUUCUCGAUGAGUGCAUGGACAAAAAGGGCCUCAAAAUAAAUUGUAUGUUUCUCGAUUUUUUUAUUUUAUUUUAGUUUUCUUUUGUCAAUUUUGAUAAUUAUUGUUAAAUGUGUGCCUGCUU